AUUGAACGCUGGCGGCGUGCUUAACACAUGCAAGUCGAACGAACUGGCGAACGGGUGAGUAACGCGUAAUCAACCUGCCCUUCAGAGGUGGACAACAGUUGCAAAUGGCUGCUAAUACCGCAUACUGAAGGACGGGGUUGCGUUAGAUUAGUUGGUUGGAGGGGUAAUGGCCCACCAAGGCGAUGUUCAGUAGCCGGUCUGAGAGGGUGAACGGCCACAAUGGGACUGAGACACGGCCCAGACUCCUACGGGAGGCAGCAGUAGGGAAUCUUCCGCAAUGGACGAAAGUCUGACGGAGCAACGCCGCGUGAGUGAUGACGGCCUUCGGGUUGUAAAGCUCUGUUGAUCGGGACGCGGUACCGGAAUAGAAAGCCACGGCUAACUACGUGCCAGCAGCCGCGGUAAUAC
rnacentral:rRNA from 1 species